rfam:Musca domestica strain aabys unplaced genomic scaffold Scaffold1327, whole genome shotgun sequence.
UCAACAUGGCUUUUGGUGAUUAUCUCGCUGAAUACAACCCCAAGGUACAUGGUCCUUAUGACCCAGCUCGCUAUUAUGGCAAAGCUGAUGUUCCCUUCGGUCAAGUA